UUUUUGAACGCACAUUGCACUUUGGGGUAUCCCCCAAAGUAUACUUGUUUGAGCGUUGUUUCUCUCUUGGAAUUGCAUUGCUUUUCUAAAAUUUCGAAUCAAAUUCGUUUGAAAAACAACACUAUUCAACCUCAGAUCAAGUAGGAUUACCCGCUGAACUUAAGCAUAUCAAUAAGCGGAGGAAAAGAAACCAACAGGGAUUGCCUUAGUAACGGCGAGUGAAGCGGCAAAAGCUCAAAUUUGAAAUCGGCCACCAGGUCGAGUUGUAAUUUGUAGAUUGUAUCUUGAGAGCGGAUUAAAGUCUGUUGGAACACAGCGCCUUAGAGGGUGACAGCCCCGUAAAAUCUAUUCUCAUUGUAAGAUACUUUCGAAGAGUCGAGUUGUUUGGGAAUGCAGCUCUAAGUGGGAGGUAAAUUCCUUCUAAAGCUAAAUAUUGACGAGAGACCGAUAGCGAACAAGUACUGUGAAGGAAAGAUGAAAAGCACUUUGAAAAGAGAGUGAAAAAGUACGUGAAAUUGUUAAAAGGGAAGGGUAUUGAAUCAGACUUGGUGCUGUUGUUCAACUGUGUUUCGGCAUAGUGUACUCAGCAGUACUAGGCCAAGGUGGGGUGUUUGGGAGUGAAAAAGAAGUUGGAACGUAACUCUUCGGAGUGUUAUAGCCUACUUUCAUAGCUCCUCAGGCGCCUCAGGACUGCGCUUCGGCAAGGACCUUGGCAUAAUGAUUCUAUACCGCCCGUCUUGAAACACGGACCAAGGAGUCUAACGUCUAUGCGAGUGUUUGGGUGUAAAACCCGUACGCGUAAUGAAAGUGAACGUAGAUAGGAGCAGUAAUGCGCACUAUCGACCGAUCCUGAAGUUUUCAGAUGGAUUU
rnacentral:rRNA from 1 species